UCUACGCAAACCAAAUAUCUAUUGAUUUACAAGAAAUCGCCGUCCACCAUUUAUCAUUUUAAUUUUUAUUACAGGCUUGUUUCUUUUCCGUUUAUAUCUUCCUCGUGACUCAUUACAUAUUUUUUUUAAAGGUGAUUUCGUGACUUUCCCAAGGACAAAUGCACUGACGAAUGUGCCCUCUCUGUUCCCAAUUUCAGUCCACGAAGAAUGCCUCACUUCUCGUGAACAGAGGAACAGUGAAGCUCCUUCAACAUAGAAAAAAAACGCGGAAAAAUUGACUACAAGAAACGUUGUAUCGACAUGAAGGAACAUGAAAGAAUCCGCCGGUUUUUGGAGAGAAAAGAAGCAAUACAGUGAAACUAGGCUGACUAUCAAUAUCUUCUUCAAUACGGUGUCAGGCUCCUCCAGGAUUCAAAAUGGACAUUAGUGGUUCCAAAACAAAAGAAUAGGAAUGAGGUGAGAUCCUAACAACUGUGGGUUGCAGUUUCAACAUAGAGACAGUUCAGGUUGGUAAUUCAUUUGAUGCCACCAAUUCAUUUUCUUGGGUAUCCU